UACCAGCACCCCGAGUGGUCGGGACGAUUAUUGGGCCUAAAGCCUCCGUAGCCGGUUCUACAAGUCUUCCGUUAAAUCCACCUGCUUAACAGAUGGGCUGCGGAGGAUACUAUGGAGCUAGGAGGCGGGAGAGGCAAGCGGUACUCAGUGGGUAGGGGUAAAAUCCGUUGAUCCAUUGAAGACCACCAGUGGCGAAGGCGGCUUGCCAGAAUGCGCUCGACGGUGAGGGAUGAAAGCUGGGGGAGCAAACCGG
rnacentral:rRNA from 1 species